UGGGUUAUACAUGUUUAAUCAUGCAUUUGUUGUUGUUUUUUAAAUCAAAGCAUUUUCUCAAAAUAUGUGUCAAAAUAAGAUUUGUCAGCAAAAAUCAUUCUGCUAGCUGAAACACAGAGAAAGCUGUGGCCAAAUUAAGACACAAAUCACCCCAGAGUGGAUGAAAUGACCCAAUAGGACAGGGGGUUAAUACAUGUCUUCAUAAAAAAAAAAAGCAGCUUUAUAAACACACAAAUGUCUUUUCUUUACAAAAAUACAGUGCAAUUUAUCAACCAUACAGUGUCUUUUUUCAGUUUAUUCUCAUUCAAAAACUAAAAUUUAAAUGUGAACUUAAAGGAUAUAUAUGCAGUAGCAAAGAUAAAGCCAACCUACUAAUGGAAAGAGUAGUAAACAAACAAACUAAAACAUCCUUUGAUCUGUGGAAAAACUCUUUUGUGAAAGA
rnacentral:lncRNA from 8 species